rnacentral:lncRNA from 1 species
UAGAGAUAAUUGACUCUAUUCACGUUUUUUCCAAUUUUUUCUUCCAUUUCCCUGUUCUAUAAAUUAACAAACACCAUUUAUAAUCAUCAAUUAAUAUCAUCUAUUAUCAAAUUAUCAUAACAACACAUGUUAAUCAUAGAAAACAUGCAUGAAGACACAUACACACUUUAUGUUUCUGUUAAAACCGCAAGCAUAAUUCAUUUCCAUUAAAUAUUUACCAAUUAAUGGUAAUAAAAACCUCAAUACUUGUGUUAAUUAAAUUACCAUCCUUUUUACCUCAAGGCACGUAAUGCCUCUCGCGUGUCUGCGGCUGGCAUGUUCGCGGGUUGACAUGAAGUCUCCUUGCAUGUUCACGGGCUAUCACAUAGGACACCUCAUGUGUUCGCGAGCUAAGGAAUUUCUCAAAAUCUUGC